CGGAGUUGCCCUUGUCAUUGUCGGCUACCUGGUGCUGGCUGGCGACGAGGUAAGCGGUAUCAUCGUAGACCCAGAACAUAGACUUAUGACAUAACGUUUGAGGCAACCAAAGUUAAAAUGGGAUUGGGGUGUGGAGCAAAAAUGCGCAAAAGAUUAUUCUAUUCGUCUUUAACUUCGUUUUCUGGGGAUGCGGAGUUGCCCUCGUCAUUGUCGGCAGCCUGGUGCUGGCUGCAACUAAUGGCAGGC